UAUUUAUUUUUUUGCUAAAAAAUAAACAUCUAUUUUAUUAAAGUGUAAGUACCAUUUCCACUUAACUAUUAAUUCACCUAAUUAUUUACAUUUCAUGCCACUGAGAACCUAACUAAUCCUACAUUUUAGCAUUAGUUGUUAUUUUGUCAUUUAAUUUAAUCAUAAAACAUUAUCUUAAUUUACAUAAAAUGGUUUUCCGUUGGUGCUGAAAUUAAUUAAUUUAGAACAUAACUCAUAUUCAACUAAACAAUAUCAAAAUCAAUUUAAUUGUAGCAGUAGCAUGUCGAAUACAUAAAUUAAUUAUCAUUCUAAACGAAAAUCACUUUAUAAUGGAUUACUAGAUUUUGACCCGCGCUUUGAAAGCGCGGGAUUUGUUUUCAAAAUGCGGAGAUUUGUUUUUGUUAACAUAUCAAAACAUAUAUACUGCGGUUGUAUUUUAUAGGAAACAAAAUUGUAAGAUUCCCAAUACCCGGGUUAUAUUUCGAGAUACAUGAUUGAGAAAAUUGUUCUUAUUUUUUACUUAGUACAACAUAUCAUAGGCAUGGGCACUCGGGUCCUUGGAUCGGGUUUGGACCGGGUCUUGUCGGUUCGGAUCCUUCGGGUUUUGGAAAUCUAGAUCCUUAUAGAUAUCUAUAAUUUUUUGAGUCGGUUACGGGUCGAGUCUUGUCGGAUCCGGAUCAGUUCGGAUCUACAAUUCUAAUACCCGUAAAAUACCUACAGUUUUUGAGUAUAUUUCGGAUUUGGGUUGGUUCAGAUAUUUAGGAACCGAAAUACCCGGACUGGACCCGACAACUCGAAAUAUACCGAAAACUCUAAAAAUAUCCAAAGAACCGCAAAAAUACAUGAAAAUUUAUCCAAAAUCAGACCCGAAAACCCAAAAGAUACCCAAAAUUUUAACUAAGUACCCGAAUUAUAUUUUUUGAAAAUCUAAUUUUACCCGAAAAAUAAAAUUAUGCCCAAAAACCGAAUCUGAAACUUUAAGGAAUAUCCAAAAUAUAAAAAUAUACCCAAUCACUUAAAUAUAUCUGAUACACACAAUAAUAUUUGGGUACUUGGGUAGCCGAUCGAGUCUCGGAUAGGACCCGUACACGAACCGAGAUCCGCAGUUAUAAGAAAAAAGAUCCAACAUAUACUUUAACAUGAAUCCGGACCCAGACCCGAACCUGUAUUUUUGGAUCGGUUCUGAUUCAGAUCUUUCAAUCCGAGUAAAAUGUCCAUACCUAACAAAUCCAUCUAAUUCAACAGUAUAGAUUUUAUAUUGUUAAAUAAAACACAAAGAUAAAUUAUGAUUUUUUUAUGUUUCAAAUUUUAAAUUAUGCAUAAAUAUAAUCGUACACAUAUAAUAUUUAUGUUUAAGUGUAACUUAGAAACACAAUAUGAUUAUUAUUCUUUUGCUAGAUAUAGGAUAACAUAUUUUUAUCUUAGCCAUUAAAUUUUAAAAAAUAAAUUGUAAUGUUAUUUGUAGUAAUAGAUACAGUAUAACCUCUUUAAUAUUAAUACUCUAUAAAUUAAUAUACACUAAAAAUUUCUAUAAAAUAAUAUAAUUUUAUAGUCCCAAGUUGAGUUUUUGGUUCAAUUAGUAUAUCGAUAAAUUAAUAUCUCUAUAAAUUAAUAUCUCUAUAAAUUAAUAAAAAAAAUUAUAGUUUUGGUGUAGUUCAACAUUAUCAAUUUAUAGAGGUUUCAUUGUACUUUAUAAUAAUGUUUAUAAUUUUCAAUUAAAUUUUUAAUUACUUAUAUAAUUUAGAUUGGACUUUUUAAUGGGCCAAACCAAAAAUUUAUUAUAAUUUUGAAUACAAAUUAUCAAGAUGGGUUGUAUUUUGAAUACAAAAUGUUUAGCAAAGCCAGAAUUUUCAAAAUAGGCUCAAGCCCAGUCCAUGGUUUUGUUAUUUUCCAAUAGAGUCCAAGUAUUUUUUGUCAUGUUUCAGACAAAAUCUAGGUUUCUAAACAAAAAUAAACUCAAAUGGCGACUGAAGCAGAAGAAUCGGGUAUUCCACAAUUUGACUAAGCAUCAUUUCCAAGGUUUGCUCUUUUCCUGUAUUUUCAUUAUCGUUGAUAGAUAGUUGAACUCCAUGAUUCUACUAACCAAUUUAUUUUUUUGUUUUUAAUUUCUUUUGCAUGUACUGUCCCAUGGCUUAAAUGGAAUAGAUCCGAUGAAUUUGAAGCCAAUCUGAGGCAUUCAUAGAAAGAUUUUGGUGAGGUCAUUCAAUUAGGUAUUCAAUGAAAAAGUCUCCAAAGGUUUGUCUUCGAUUGCUAGUAAAUUGUUUCAUACCAUUGAUUGUUGAUCUUUUUUUUUGCUUGCAAGGAUCUAUGAAGUUAAUAUUCUGUGUCUUAAUUUUUUUUUAAAAUGUCUGUAAAAAUAUAUUUAUUUCUUUAAAUUUAGUUAUUAUUUUCCGGUUAAUUGGCUUUUCUUUGUUUUUGCGUCAACUAUUUUAGAAAACUAUUAUCCAAAAUGUUUAUUAUAUUUUUAACAGUUAUUUUGUAACAUAUUUAAAUAGCUAAUAUAAAUAAAUUAGAUAAUUUAAAAUUAAGUAAUUAAUAAAAAUAAAAUUAAUCUUUGUUAUAAAAUAUUUUUUUUAUUAAAUGUUACAGCCAUCUUCUUUUGUUUGGGUCUUUUGAUUUUUUUUAAUUAAAACAUAUUGGUUCAAGCCCAUUAAAUUUAUCGACAGAUAUAAAAAAAAAUUUCAGGUGUUCGACAAAAGAAAACAAAAAAUAUUCUCUCUCACCUGUCGGUUCCUUUGUCGCAAAGAGAAGAAGAUGGCUAUCUCCGACAGAAGGACUUAAUCCAAUCCUUAAUGGUAUGCAUGAUUUUGGCUUCAAUAAACCAAGUUGUUUUCAUGGCCUAAUCUCAUCAAGGUACACCAUCUUUUUUUUAGAAUACAUUAUAUGAGAAACGUAUAGAAAACAACAUUGCUUGCUUUGAGUCUAGAUGGCGUGUUUGCUUUGAAUCUAGAUGGUCGAUAUAUAUAAGAAAAUUUAAGGCAUGAGGUUCAGAAUAUUCUCAUUCAAAUAGUUAUAAAAUAGGGCCGUGAGUUUAGGAAAAUAUAUUAUCUCGACCUUCUAGUUUAUUAAAGUUAUGGAACAUUAGAUUUUCUGGUAUAUUAUUAUCGAUAUUUCAGUUACCAAAAUUCACGCUUUCUUGUUUUGAUUUUAUGUUAUUACAAUCAUCGAAGAUAUGGGACAAUAGGAUUGGCUGGGUGGGUAUUUAUGAUUUAGAUUAAUGGCAUUAUAUCGAUAUUUCAGUUACCAAAAUUCACUCUUUCUUGUUGUGAUUUAAUAUUUAUAUUUUCGGUUACUGAUGUGAAAAUCUUUGCAAAUUCAAUAAUUUGGCCGAGUAUAUUGCACAAUGGUUAAUCCCGUGAAGAUUCAAAACUAAUGCAUGCUGCUUUUAAAAUAUUUGGGGGUUUAGGGGUUGGUAUGAUUUGACAUUGCUUAAUUUUAAUAAAUCAAUGAAUAAAAAAGGAUUUGUGGUUUUGCGGGUUCGUCUGUAACUCAUACUAUGCAUAUAAAAAUGCAAGCUUACAAAUUUAUAAAAACGAAUCUGAACAUUAAUAAGUUUGAUAUUCAGGAGUUUGAAUAGUGCAACAUGUAUGUUUGAAGGGUGCAAUAGUUUGUAACCAAAACCUUGAUUGGAAGUGAUGAAUGGUCGAUACAUUGAUAUUAACAUAAUGUAUUUUUUAUUUUAAUUUGGAAGCUUGCAGAAUCCAAUAUUCGAGAGGGAAACCUUCAAACUUUAAUCGUUGAAGCUUCAGUGUCGAUGGAACAUCAUUAUCAAUAUACAAAGAUUUGGUAAAUGUACUGUGUAAGAAAUGAAAAUCAGUGUGUUAUAGCAAUUGAGUUUUUUAAAUUAUGUUCCAUCGUUUAAUAUGUAGAUGAAGCAUCGUCUAUUUUUUUCCAUUUAACAACGUUUACUAACUGAAAAAUGCAUCAAGAAGGUGUUAAUUUGAUAUGUAAUUAUACACAUAGUUUCGAUAGGCAGUAAAUGUAGUGUUGUUGUUUAAAUAAAAGAAAUCUCAGAAAAAUACAUAAUUAAAUUAAAAACAUAGCUUAAAAUAUUCCAGUGGCAGAAUCUGGUAAAUAUUGUUGAAAGAGAAGGGUACCUCAAAAAAGGGCCUUCUGUUUUAAUAGUAUUGAUGUAACUAUCAAUUUACAUUAAAAAUAAUGUAAUCAGUUUUUACUAUGAAAUGAGAUGAACCAAACUAUUUAUAAGAUAAUUAUAAUAAUUUGAAUGAUUUAUGUUUAAACCGGAUUCAAUGGUCAUAUGUUCAAAAUUUUAGAUUGAUUUUCACGUAUAUUGAUUAAAAAAAAACUAAAUCGGAAUAAAUUGUCACAAUCUUCUAUAUGUUAAUAUAAUUUUCCCUAAAAUAGAUAAUCAAUUAAUUUUAUCCAUAUUUGAAUUAAUACAGACUAAUCAAUAUUUUUGAAUUAUUCAUAUGAUCUAUAUUUUAACUAAUUCACAAAGUAAUAUUUUUCUCUUACAUUUUUAACAAUUAAUAUGAUAUAUUAGCAUAUAUAUAUGUAACAGAUUUAAUUGAUUAAAACUGAAUAUUACAUUAUACUUA